GUUGGAGUUUGUUGCUUGUGCUGUGAAGAGAGUUGCAGUUGUUGGCUGUGCAGAAGAAGGAGUCAGUGCUGUGAGGAGAUGCCUAUGAGAAAUCACCGAGAAGCAGAUAUCUUGUAAAGCUCCCUAGAGCACAGAAACGUCCUUAGCAUGUCACUACUGGGGAUUAUCAGGAAUAGCAGUUGAGAACUGACAGGAUGACCACAAGUAGGAGAACUGAGACCAUGACAAGAGAAAGACACCAUAGAAGAGAAAAGCAAAAAAAAGGAGAAAGCAGCUCUCAUCUGGGUGGAAAAGGCAAGUGUCCUAGAGCCUCACUGCCACCUCUAAGCCCCAAGGAAGUGCUUCAGGAAAGCAACUGUGUUCCUAAUGCUGUGAAGUCUUCAGAGUGCUGUCCAACGUGCCCAGCCAUCCAGCAGCCACAAUGUUCAUCCUUCAAAGGCAGCAUUCUCAAACCCCACUGGCAGAACCUCAGGUACCCCUGCAAGGGGAAUGAGUGACCCUCAUCUGUGCACACAGGGGAUGCUGAAGUGAAACCAGGACAUGCAAUUUGUCCUGUGCCACACGGCAAGCCUGGCAGUGGCAUGAGGUUCCUACUUUCUAACAACUCAGUCCUGGUUUCUAAGCAAUAACCCAAGCUUCCCCUCUAUUCAGCAACUUAAACUACUGCAAAGGAUUAAGUAGGCACUUAACACCAUAUUGAACAGGAGCCAAAAGAAUUCAUUUCACAGGAGAGAAAGAAACAGGCACAAAGAAUUAAACAAGUCAGGGAGUGAAAAAGCUGUGUGCUGAUUAAAAGACAGAAACGACCUACACUAAACUGCUAAAGCUUGUCGUUGUCAAAUCUAGCCUUCCCGUGCUCCUUCCUCUGCCCUGAUUUGUGAUACUUUGCAGACCAAAAAGACUCUUUAAAUAAGGAAAAAACUUCCCAUAGUACAGAGUGCAAAUCA